rnacentral:rRNA from 1 species
UACAUGGGGUGCAAACGUUGCUCGGAAUUAUUGGGCGUAAAGCGCGCGUAGGCGGUUACUUAAGUUGGAUGUGAAAGCCCUCGGCUUAACUGAGGAAGUGCAUCCAAAACUGAGUAGCUAGAGUACGAAAGAGGGUCGCGGAAUUCCCGGUGUAGAGGUGAAAUUCGUAGAUAUCAGGAGGAACACCGGUGGCGAAGGCGGGUCUCUGGGCCGUAACUGACGCUGAGAGCGAAAGCGUGGGGAGCGAACAGG